rnacentral:rRNA from 1 species
GUGAGGAAUUUUCCGCAAUGGGCGAAAGCCUGACGGAGCAAUGCCGCGUGAAGGAUGAAGGCCUAUGGGUUGUAAACUUCUUUUCUCAGAAAAGAAUUAUGACGGUAUCUGAGGAAUAAGCAUCGGCUAACUCUGUGCCAGCAGCCGCGGUAAGACAGAGGAUGCAAGCGUUAUCCGGAAUGAUUGGGCGUAAAGCGUCUGUAGGUUGUUUAAAAAGUAUUCUGUCAAAGAUUAGGGCUUAACCCUAGAUAGGCAGAAUAAACUUUUAAGCUAGAGUUUGGUAGAGGCAGAGGAAAUUCCCGGUGGAGCGGUGAAAUGCGUAGAUAUCGGGAGGAACACCAAAGGCGAAGGCACUCUGCUGGGCCAAUACUAACACUGAGAGACGAAAGCGAGGGGAGCAAAUGGGAUUAGAAACCCGUGUAGUCC